rnacentral:misc_RNA from 1 species
UUUCCGUAGGUGAACCUGCGGAAGGAUCAUUAACAAAUCUGGGAGUGGGUUGUGUGGUGGGGGGAGAGGAGGAUAAUAUUCUAAGAGAUAUCUGAAGGGGAGUAUAUUCUAAGAGCUAUCUGAAGGGGAUUAUCCUUUCUCUCUUUGCUAUCACAUACCACAUAACAUUGACUCGGACUUGGGCGUGUGUGAUACUAUGUACCGCAUAUGCACCAAGUCUUGAGCAAUAUUCACGCUUGUUGUGUCUGCCUGAGUUAUAAAUCAUGGGAAAUAUAGACAACUUUUAGCAAUGGAUCUCUUGGCUCUU